CGGGAUCGCUGCACAGCGCGGCCAAAAGCCAGCACAGCUACAUCCCCUUCGUGCGCAGGGAGGACGCGGGGCUGAACGGCGGCCGCGUGCCGGCAGAGCAGGGGGGGCUCCUGGACACUGCGGACGCGCAGCACGAGCACGACACCGAUUCCGACAGCGACCUGUCCCUGGAGGAGGAUCCCCAGCGGCUCCUACGGCUCCACGCACUCCUCGGACAGCGACGACGAACCCGGCGGCACCGCCUGGGAUGCGCU